UGAUAAGAUGCAUGCCUGCGCGAACUCUAGCACUGUACAAAAUGCAGUGAACUAGAUACUUAUGAUGCAGAUUACACCAGAGGUGAAAGUUAAACUAAGUCUCCACAACCUCGCUUGGGAGACCGGAGUCUAAGAGCUGGUCCCCCUCAGAGGUGGGGGUGGACAUUUAUCCCCUGUGCCUGAGAGAGGAGGUUUCUCCUGAUGGGAAUCUCAGAAAGAGCAUCAUCCAGAAGUGAAAUUAGUUUUGCAAGCCAGACUCAGGUUGGACAAAGAAGAGCCACCAGAAACAGUUGGACUAGGUCAUGGUGUACCAGAGGUGGCAGAGUAGGCAGCAGUGGAGGUGGCCCUAAAGGGAUAUUUCUAGAAACCCUAGCCCUUGGGCAUUUGGAUUCCUUUCUGGCCCUCUCGGUGGAGAUGAAAGACCCCAGGUUCUCUCUUGGCUUCUGGGUGUGCCCCUAAGCACUGAAUGGCAAUAUGGAUUUUACAGAUGGGUGCUUGGGCUGCAAUGCUAGCCUUUUUUUCCCCACUUCAGCAGGUCAGCCUGGCUUAAUAGACCAAGCUACACUGCAGUGAGGGAAGAACAGGCCCUUAGCAAAAAUCUAAAAGUCUAGAAGUCUUUUAUCUCUAACAGAUGCAGUGGAAUUGCCAAAUGACAAUGCAUCAGUGGACCAGCCAAAGGUGUGUGCUGUCUAAUUUGUGGCAUUAAGGGCUAAAUAUUUGGCUUGGCAGAGUUCAGACCAAAUUGAUGAGCCCGUCACUUCAAUUCAGCCUGCUAUGACUGCAAAAGCGCCAUUGUGUGCAGUGCCACACUACUGUAGCUUGACCUGUGGCCAUGUACCCCUUCCCUAUAAGAGCCAUGGUCAGACUGGGCUUUAAUUGGAGAGCAGAUUGUGUGCCAAUGUGUGGAGAUAGCACGGAAUUGUCUUUAACCACGGGCAUCGCCACAUACCCAUGCUCCUCUUGGCACACAAUGUAUAAGAGCCAUUUUUUUUGGUAAAAUGGUAAUAUGUGCUAUAGGAGCACCCAUACCCUUUAGUUGAAUAGGACUUUUAGUUUGACAGAGCUUGAGAUGGCCUUAAAGUUAAGAUGGCCGCCGCUCACCUUUUAGAUGAAUCGUGAGAACAAAGGAAAGACGUUGAGGCAUAUAGUUCUUUACAAGACUUUUGGAGAUAUUUUUGUUUGUUUUGAUCUCUCAUUGGAUACACUUUGUACCACUUUAAUCAUCUUGCCUGCUAAUCAUUUCUAAGCUAUUGGAGCAUCCUUGUUUAUUCAUGUUUGCCACCUUGCCUGCCUGCCUGCCUGUCUGUCUGCUUGCCUGCCUAUCUGCUAUCCUACCCGAUUGUCUACCAUACAUUCAUAUCACCCCUUUGAAGGAGUAUGCAAAUCAACGUUCUUCAACUAAAAGGCUGGUGGUCCAGUUUCAUUAAAAACUACAGAGGCCCCCAGUGUUCCCUUGAGUCCAUGACCCUGGAUCUGCCUGCUGACUACCAUCUCCUGCCGAUCAUCGUCAUGCAUCGCGCUGCAGGACACGUGAACCAGUGGCCAGAACAGCAUGUGGGCUAAGCAUUAAUUUUCACAGCCUAUAAUUCUCCACCUUAGAUCUCCAGCAACAUAAUCUAUUUUUAACACUGCAGCCAAUCACUGUCCAGGUCUCCAUCCACCUGACCUACAGCUUUAGGUGUUACUUGCAGUAAGCCAAGUCAAAAAAGUAUCCGAUUGUAUUCACAACCAGUACAACACUGAGGAGCAAAGGUGGAAAAACAGGCCAGGCAUUGUUACCAUGACUACUGAUGGAUUUAACAUAUGUGCUUGUUGAACAUGAUAUUAAAAUGAAUGUUAUUUGCUACAUUAAAAUAAUUGAGUUAGUGCUGGUGCAUUGUGUCACACGAGUUUAAAAACAGCAAGACAGAAAUAAGCAGGAGACAUCAGAAGCAAACAUCUUUAUUAUUAAUGUUUGUAAUUCCUACAUCCCAGGAGAUGAACAGUCAUCUGUAUUUGUCUACUGAAUAUUUAAUAACAAAAUCAUACCCUAACAAGAACAAAAGCAACUUGAACUUCUAUUUAGUUUUUCACAAACUUCAAAGAUGCCUAAAUUACCAUUGUAACAACACUACCAAUAACUACACAAUCAUUAUAUGACUUGUGAAAAUAUUUCUCAGUUCAUCAUUGUUCCUUUGUUUCAUCUGACAAUUCAUCAAUUUUAGUAGCCCAUGACACUUUAGUAAUCACUUCCAUGUGUUCAUGUGUUUUGUUUAUGUCCUGUUUCCACCCCGUAUUAGCACUGGGUGUUGCGCUCAUAUGUUAUGAUGAGUCUCUCCUCUUUUCAACAUUUUUCAAUGUUUUAGGAUGUUUUUAAUCUUAUACAUCCAGUAAUAUGUGUCCAUAUUUUUUUAUGUUCAGUUUCAGUGGUAUUCUGAACACAACUGGUACUUUAGUACCUGAUUAUUUGUAAUAUAUUGAUCUAUUUUCUAUAUCCAACAUUUGCAAGAAAUCUCUUGAACUCAGUGUGUUUUAUUCCUGGUAAUGUAUGAAUCCCUGUAAUGUAAUGAA